rnacentral:rRNA from 1 species
UAACGAGGGGGCAAGCGGUUGUUCGGAAUUAUUGGGCGUAAAGGGGCGCAGUAGGCGGUGCGGUAAGUUCACCUGUGAAACCUACUCGGCUCAACCUAGAGCCUGCAGGCGAACUGCCGUGCUUGAGGGUGGGAGAGGUGGCGUGGAAUUCCCGGUGUAGCGGUGAAAUGCGUAGAGAUGUGGAGGAACACCAAUGGCGAAGGCAGCCCGUCUCGGCCGAACACUGACGCUCAUGCACGAAAGCGUGGGGAGCAAACAGG